GAUGAACGCUAGCUACAGGCUUAACACAUGCAAGUCGAGGGGAAACGACAUCGAAAGCUUGCUUUUGAUGGGCGUCGACCGGCGCACGGGUGAGUAACGCGUAUCCAACCUGCCCAUCACUUGGGAAUAACCUUGCGAAAGUAAGACUAAUACCCAAUGACAUCCCACGAAGACAUCUGAAUGGGAUUAAAGAUUUAUCGGUGAUGGAUGGGGAUGCGUCUGAUUAGCUUGUUGGCGGGGUAACGGCCCACCAAGGCAACGAUCAGUAGGGGUUCUGAGAGGAAGGUCCCCCACAUUGGAACUGAGGCACGGUCCAAACUCCUACGGGAGGCAGCAGUGAGGAAUAUUGGUCAAUGGGCGAGAGCCUGAACCAGCCAAGUAGCGUGCAGGAUGACGGUCCUAUGGGUUGUAAACUGCUUUUAUAAGGGAAUAAAGUGGGUCUCGUGAGACUUUUUGCAUGUACCUGAUGAAUAAGGACCGGCUAAUUCCGUG
rnacentral:rRNA from 1 species